rnacentral:tRNA from 1 species
AGGGUAAUAGUUAAUUAUAACAUUUAACUUGCACUUAGAAAGUAUUGCCCCUGCAAUUUACCUUA